GUGGGGAAUAUUGGACAAUGGGCGCAAGCCUGAUCCAGCCAUGCCGCGUGUGUGAAGAAGGUCUUCGGAUUGUAAAGCACUUUAAGUUGGGAGGAAGGGCAGUAAGUUAAUACCUUGCUGUUUUGACGUUACCGACAGAAUAAGCACCGGCUAACUUCGUGCCAGCAGCCGCGGUAAUACGAAGGGUGCAAGCGUUAAUCGGAAUUACUGGGCGUAAAGCGCGCGUAGGUGGUUUUGUAAGUUGGAGGUGAAAUCCCCGGGCUCAACCUGGGAACUGCCUCCAAAACUGCAUGACUAGAGUACGGUAGAGGGUAGUGGAAUUUCCUGUGUAGCGGUGAAAUGCGUAGAUAUAGGAAGGAACACCAGUGGCGAAGGCGACUACCUGGACUGAUACUGACACUGAGGUGCGAAAGCGUGGGGAGCAAACAGGAUUAGAUACCCGUGUAGUCC
rnacentral:rRNA from 1 species